UUUAGCGGCGGACGGGUGAGUAACACGUGGGCAACCUGCCCUGUAGAUUGGGAUAACUCCGGGAAACCGGGGCUAAUACCGAAUAAUCCAUUUCCUCACAUGUGGAAAUGUUAAAAGACGGUUUCGGCUGUCACUACAGGAUGGGCCCGCGGCGCAUUAGCUAGUUGGUGAGGUAACGGCUCACCAAGGCGACGAUGCGUAGCCGACCUGAGAGGGUGAUCGGCCACACUGGGACUGAGACACGGCCCAGACUCCUACGGGAGGCAGCAGUAGGGAAUCUUCCACAAUGGACGAAAGUCUGAUGGAGCAAUGCCGCGUGAGUGAAGAAGGUUUUCGGAUCGUAAAACUCUGUUGUGAGGGAAGAACAAGUACGAGAGUAACUGCUCGUACCUUGACGGUACCUCAUUAGAAAGCCACGGCUAACUACGUGCCAGCAGCCGCGGUAAUACGUAGGUGGCAAGCGUUGUCCGGAAUUAUUGGGCGUAAAGCGCGCGCAGGCGGUCCUUUAAGUCUGAUGUGAAAUCCCACGGCUCAACCGUGGAAGGUCAUUGGAAACUGGGGGACUUGAGUACAGAAGAGGAAAGCGGAAUUCCAAGUGUAGCGGUGAAAUGCGUAGAGAUUUGGAGGAACACCAGUGGCGAAGGCGGCUUUCUGGUCUGUAACUGACGCUGAGGCGCGAA
rnacentral:rRNA from 1 species